AUUGAACGCUGGCGGCAUGCCUUACACAUGCAAGUCGAACGGCAGCACGGGUGCUUGCACCUGGUGGCGAGUGGCGAACGGGUGAGUAAUACAUCGGAACAUGUCCUGUAGUGGGGGAUAGCCCGGCGAAAGCCGGAUUAAUACCGCAUACGAUCCACGGAUGAAAGCGGGGGACCUUCGGGCCUCGCGCUAUAGGGUUGGCCGAUGGCUGAUUAGCUAGUUGGUGGGGUAAAGGCCUACCAAGGCGACGAUCAGUAGCUGGUCUGAGAGGACGACCAGCCACACUGGGACUGAGACACGGCCCAGACUCCUACGGGAGGCAGCAGUGGGGAAUUUUGGACAAUGGGCGAAAGCCUGAUCCAGCAAUGCCGCGUGUGUGAAGAAGGCCUUCGGGUUGUAAAGCACUUUUGUCCGGAAAGAAAUCCUUGACUCUAAUACAGUCGGGGGAGGACGGUACCGGAAGAAUAAGCACCGGCUAACUACGUG
rnacentral:rRNA from 1 species